rnacentral:lncRNA from 1 species
CUCUGAAAUGGUCAUUCUCCCUUCAAUCAGUAACGUUCAGGUUAAGGGGAAGUCAGAACGGCAGCUCUUCACGAGUCUUCAAAGGCAAGGUGGUAUUGUGGUAGCUCAUGGUUGCCUGUCUGAAUAUUCAUUCUUACUGUGUAACGCUGAGGAAGAUCGUCCCGAGGGCAGACUGAACCGAUGCUCAGGGCUCAUCAUAGAAGUCACUUUGAAAAAUUGCCUGUGUCUCUGAUGGGUUCUUCUUCCGUGUCAGAUGCACAAACAUUUGUUCAUCAUCUGUGUCCUUCUCUAGAAAGCUGUUUUUCUUAGUUGGAAAGGAGCUAGCAUUCAUUCGUGCCCGUGAGUUUCUCCUUUUGGCCUGAAACUCUUGCCUUAUCUAAGUGAUGGUGACAUUUUAGGUGUCGUGUGUUGGCUAGAGAGAGAGACGUUUUCGAGAAGGAGGUAUGAAACUGGUCCAGAACGGUUCCUGCCAGCGCUUGGAUUUCACACCACAAAGGCAACCCGGGACUCUGCUUUUGUAAAAGUCACCGUUGGCACUCAGACCCACUGACCAGGCUCCAUUUCCUGCCAAAGGGGAUUUGACAUAAAAUUAGUGCAACCUCAUUUCAAUCAAUUUUAACCAAUAUUUUUAUAUUCUAAAGCACAAUAUCUGUAAUAUCCUGGAAUAUUGAACAAAAAUGAAAUUUUGGCUUUGGUUUAUACACGUAAGCAUAGAGCAAUUUGGCGCCUUUCUGUUUGGUUUAAUUGCAUUUUUACAAAUAUAAUUUGAUCGCAUUAGAAUAGAUUUGUAAAAGGACAGAUUAGGAAAGACGAGGAUGGCAAGGAGUGAAUAAACCGGGAGAUUGAAGAAAGCUGACAUCAGAAUCGUAAGCACUAUAGUCUACGAGGCAAUUCCUCAUAAGUACUUCAUUUGAGGCUUAGAGGACAUAAGCGUUAUCCGACCCAUUUUAUAGAUGGGAACACUGGGGUGCGGGGGUAUCUGGCUUUCCACGAGGACUUGAAUUUUUAUAGAUGCCAUACUUAGUGCCUAUGCCAUACUGCCUCUCGAAGGAGGUAGUGAGGGUAGAGGCGGACAGGAGACGGGUGCCAACAAGCUUGAGGUGAACACAGAGGGUGCUGGCAUUGGGCCAGCAGGAAACAAAGCCAGAACUGCUGCUGACCAGCUGCCAGCACAGCUGUUAUAACUGCCACACCUCUCUGUGAAGGGCCAAGUGGGCCGGGCUGGCCUGGGCUAUCCUGGUCUGCCUUCAAACCCAGGCUGCAGCCUGCUCUCUGUGGACUUGUCCCAUUGCCCCAUCACCGGGAAAACCAGGAAAAGAUAUUGCUGUCCCCUAAGUGCUGAGAGACCUCCUCCACCUCCACCCCUGCCUCCCGCUUCUGACCUUUUCACCCCAGAGGCACCCUGCAGUGCUCUGCAAUAAAGUUAUGGAUUAUUCAGUGACCGUUCCCCUGCUCUGCUCCUGCUGGCUGACAUUGCUGACCACUGGGCCCUGAGCUGGGUCAGUGCACAGUCUGGAGUGAUCCCUGGUGACGCUGGGAAAUGAACCUACGACCUCUUCUUGCCGAGGGUCAGUGAACUUUCUGGUGGUGCACGGGUCCAUCAGAAAAAAGUCAGCAGGGCCAGCCGGGAAAAGUGCUGACAACUGUGGGCAUUUGCAAAGCAGCCUCCUCACACGGAAGACUGAUAGCUAUCUGUCCUUAUCUCAGCUUUCCCAGCUUCCACAGCCCGGCCCUUUACUUUGAAUAAGCAAAUUGACAUUGAGGUCAUCUUAAAUUAACCAAUCAUAUUCCCCAGGUCAUUUUCUCAAGGAAAGAGUUGAACCCAAAGAAGGGUGUGUAUCCUUUGAAAGGAUCAUAAAUCUAUGCUUCUCUUGGUUUUUCUUUCCAUUUUUCUCUUCCCUGUGUUACGUAUGCUUUUAUACUCAUCCUAUUGUCUUUCAUUUAUAUUUAUUUUUCUAUUUGUAUAUUUAAUUGAAUAUGUAGUCAUACUCUCCUGAUAUAUUUAUAAAUACUACCCUACUUACACAAAUACUAUGUGUUGAGGUACGUGCUCAGAGCUGUUACACAUACAAGGAGAGGUCUUUGCCCCUAGGAGAGUCUGGUUUGAUCAGGCAGCUAGAAUACACGCACAAACAUCCACGCGACAGAUAGGAUGCAAUAAAUAUCACAAAAGGGACAUGAAGACAUUGCUAUCGGAGUAUAGAGGAGAGUAAGUCCGUGUUCAGACUGGACCCACUUUCAGACGAAGUGAUCAGGGAGGCUCAGGAGGUAUGACAUUUGGUCCAUGAACUGACCAUUGAUGACUGAGGUGGCCUGGCACUGGGUUCUUUCGCAGGGUCUGGUGCAAAGUGACACCUCACACAUUCCAGGUAGAAAGAGCAGCGUGAAUAAGAAUGUGGACACAGUGAAUGACAAGCAGCCUCGUUUUCCUUCACUGUUUCUUUUGGCAAAUGUUUAUUGAGCAUCUACUGUGAACCAGGCAGGCAUGGCUCUAGGUGUUGAGGAUCCAGGAAUAAAAUAAACGCACACAGUUCCUGCUGUCACUGGCCUUACCUUCUGGUGGCAGGAGAAAGACACUCAACAAAGAAAACUAUAACAUACCAGGUGGUGUUAGGCACUGAAAAGAAACGCAAAGCAGAAUACAGGGGCAGAGAGUGACAAGGGAAGUGUUAUGUUAAAGAGGGUAGUUGGGAAAACCAUUCUGACAAACCAAAACUUGAUGGAAGAGAGAGAGGCCGCCAUGCAGAUUUCAGGGGCUGAAACCCCAAGGCAGAGGGAAUAACAAGCGUGGAGAGAACACACUGGGUGUGUGUGAGGAGCACAGACGAGCCAAAGGGGCAAGUGUUUGAGGGGGUGAAGUACAGGGGACGAGGCUAGAGAGAGCGUUGGGAUCACAUCCUGUGGGGCUCUGCACACCGUGGUAACGACUUGGUACUUACUCUGACCACUUUGAGCAGAGCAAUGACAUGAUCUCACUCAUACUUCCAGAGGAGACUAGACUGCAAAGUAGGCUGAAGCUGGGAGAUGAGCUAAGAGUCCUAUAGUUUUCCUUUUCCUGGAGCAUGGUGUACAGAUAUUGUGCAUACGGAACUAGUUUAUUUUUCCAGGAAAAAAACCUGGAGGAGUAAUUUGGAACCAGAACAUGGAGGUUCUGCCUUGCGAGCCAAGCCAAUGACAUUUUUGGAGACAGCGAGGAGCCAUUGGAAGAGUUAAGCAGCUAAGUGCUAUGAUUGUUAUUUAGCUUAGAAAAGCUAAACAGGGCUCAGAUUCUAGGACUUGAGGGGUGUGGGUCCUGCUUCUGCCAGUCCCCAGCCCUGAAAUCUUGGGCAACCAUUGAACCACCCUAAACUUUAGUUUCACCAUCUGUAGUUUAUUCAUAUGCUCCUCUCCUCUCUAUACUGCCAAGAGUUAUUAUGAAGAUGAUGUGAUAGGAAUAUAUAUGAAAGCCUUCCAUAAACCAUGACACAGAGAACCAUAGCAAGGAUGAUGAUGAUGGUGAUGGAUUGAAAAGGGGUGCCUGGAUGAAGACUUAUUGGGGAGCUGCUGCCACUGUCCAGGUGACCUGGACAGGCCUGAGAUGAGGUGAUGGGAGUGGGAAUGGGAAGGAAAAAGCAAAUGUCAAAGACAUUGCAAAGGAAGAAUCUACAGCUCUGAGGGAUGGGCGGUGAAUACUCUGUAAGUGCUAUAGUUAGGGUCAAACACUCAAUCCUGCAGCCUGCUGGGAGACUUGUGAGUUCUCAUGCAAGGUUAUAGUUGCCACCAUGGGCUUGCUGCAACGAUGGGCAGAGGGAUAAACAUGGAGGAUCAAAGGCUGGCCCGGUGCAGGAAGGAGCAGCAGAAGAUACACUGGUAUAGGAGAUGUGGGAAUAACUGUCAGAGAGGGAAGAAACCAAAUGAAAAUUGUAGCUUGGGAGAGGGGGCAAAGAAAGGCUGUACAGAAGAUCCCUGGUGAGGUGAGAAAUAUGACAGCUUGGAUAUGAAGAUCAAGGAAUAGGAAAGACUCCAAUGUCAGGGGUUUUAAUAUCAAAGACAAGAAGUGGGAUGAGAGGUAUCAGAAAUGGGGCCACUGGGAAGGGAGGUAGUUUUAGGAGGGAAGAUGCUAAGUUUGGACAUUUUCAGCUUACAGUACCAUCAGGACAGACAAUGAGAGCUAUCUUGUAGGCAGUUGGACACAUGAGAUGGGGCUCAACACAAGUUGAGUUGGUUGAAUUGACUAUAGACACGUAAGGGAUUAAUGCUUGUAAUGAGGGUUUAGAUGGAGUGGGAGAGUAAAUGAAAGGUCCUGGGAAGGAGAUGGGCAGAGGGAAGCGUGCCGAAGAUAGAGACCUGAAGGCACCCACAGGUAAGGUAUGGAAGGAUGAAGAUGAAGGGAGAUGCAGAGGUGACAUAGCAUCAGACAGAGAGAAAGGCUGAGACAUGGAAGGCAAAGGAAUUAUUUUUAAAAGGAUAUAGUGGUCAGAAGUGUCCAAGAUCAUUAUAUAUUAGAAUAUUACUCAGCCGUAAAAAGAUGAAAUCUUGCCAUUUUUGACAACAUGGAUGGACCUGGAGGGUACUAUGCUAAGCGAAAUAAGUCAGACAGAGAAAGCAAAUUCUGUACUAUUUCACUCAUAUGUGGAAGAUAAAAAACAAACAAACAAAAAACAAACACAUAGACACAGAGAACAGAUUGGUGGCUACCAGAGGGGAAGAGUGGGUGGGGGGAGGGCACAAGGGUAACGGGGCACAUUUGUACGAUGAUGGAUGGAAAGUAGACUUCUGGUGGUGAGCAUGAUGUAGUGUAUACAGAAGUUGAAAUAUAAUGAUGUACACCUGAAAUUUAUAUAAUGUUAUAAGCCAAUGUGA